AACAAAAACAAUAUUUUAAUCAGUAUAUAUCUUUCCCAAUUGAUAUUGCAUUUGCAGACCCAAUUACACCUCCAUUUUUCAUUCCCAGCGCUUUUUCAACUGCUACUUCAAUUUUCAGAUUUUCAGCACAAAAUAUUGCAAGAUCUUUUUUCAGAUAUCUAAUAUCAAGCAAUUUCCUGUCCGUCUUCCCGAACGCAGCUACAAUGUAGGAUUUCUUGUCGUCAAUGUUAUGGUCAACAAGAAUCCUCCUCUUUAGAAAGUUCACAAGCUUCUAAACAAUUUAAAAAGCCUAAAUGCCUCGUAAAGCAAGAAACUUAUAAUAUGAUGCGAAUUCAUACAUUAUCCCAUGGUCAUAUAUUGCUAAAGAUACGG
rnacentral:lncRNA from 1 species